UCUCUUCCUCUCUCUACAAUUUUUUAGCUGCAAGUGUUUAGCUUAACACAAAAAUACUUGCACUUUGUUGUUCAAAGAAUCUAUGAUAAAUUGUAACAUAUUGUUUGAGUAAUACUUUUGUGAGACCCUGGAACUGGGUCCGGUCCACUUGACCGGCCUAGUCCCAACACUUGCACGUGAGGCAGCAACGGGAUGGAUUCUUUCCAUCCCGAAGAAGAAGGAGGAGCCCUGUUUUAGGGCUUCCUUCUCCUUCUUCUUCUCCUUUGAGCCCACCGAAGGAGAGCCGCCGCACGCAAAGGGAGGAGGGUCUUCUUCGUGUGGCCACCGAGAGAGAGGGAGAGAGGGAGAGAGAGAGAGAGAGAGAGAGGGAGAGAGGGAGAGAGAGAGGAGCCACGGCACCGGGUGGUCUCCUUCUUCCUUGCCGCCGGAGAAGAGAGGUGCCGUCUUCGUCGGGGCUAAGGUGCUGCAAGGGAUUUGCGGAAUUAAUUGGAUUUGUUGUGGAUCGCGUUCGCAAGAUUUUGAGAACUAAUCUAUUGGGGAUUCAAAUUGGGGAGAGCGACUAGAAGGAUUGUGGCACAAGUUAUCUUAGAUUAGGGUUAUUUAAGUUGAUUUGUUAUUAUGGACAUUUAUUAUGAUCGGUGGACUUUUGUUAUUUUAAGAACUAGGUUUUUGCAUGUUGGUAAAUGAUUAUUCCGCUGCGUAUUUAGACUUGUGAGACCUUAUGACUUGAGUUAGUCAAUGGAAUAAGAUUGCAUUUAUUCAGUUAAA